GGCGGCUGUAGUGUUAAACUGCAGCGGAACUGUGAUGAAUGUGUAGAAGUGUAGCAUUACGAAUUUCAUUUGGAAGUUACAAUAAUCAGCUAAAAUAUGCCCAAUAAGGAAGAUCAGAGACCAGACCUAAAGCAAAUGGCAGUAGGCACGAAGGAGUCCUUGAAGUACUCAAUCAUGCAUCUUAGCUGCAGGAGGAGGAAGUGGGCUGUUCCCUUGGCUGCCACCUUGCCUGCCCUGGUGCUUCCAGGGCCAUGCCCAUGAGAAACCAUAACUUGUCCUGAGAUGCUUGAGCCCAUCCUCUCCUCCGCUGCGCCCCUAGGAGCCAAGCUCCGGGCUCACAACCCAGAGAGGGUUGCUUUUCCUACACUUCUGGCUCCUGACCAUUCCACCUGCACUGCAGACUCCCAGCCUUGAUAGGGCCACUUCACCCGCGUCCCAGGCUCUGGGCAGAGAAAGGGCCGCUCUGCUUGCCCUCCAGGCUCCUGACCCAGAGACAGCCCUUCCACCCGCGUCCCAGGCUCCCGGCCCAAGAA